GAUGAACGCUGGCGGCGUGCCUAAUACAUGCAAGUCGAACGAACAGAUGAGGAGCUUGCUCCUCUGACGUUAGCGGCGGACGGGUGAGUAACACGUGGAUAACCUACCUAUAAGACUGGGAUAACUUCGGGAAACCGGAGCUAAUACCGGAUAAUAUAUUGAACCGCAUGGUUCAAUAGUGAAAGACGGCUUUGCUGUCACUUAUAGAUGGAUCCGCGCCGCAUUAGCUAGUUGGUAAGGUAACGGCUUACCAAGGCAACGAUGCGUAGCCGACCUGAGAGGGUGAUCGGCCACACUGGAACUGAGACACGGUCCAGACUCCUACGGGAGGCAGCAGUAGGGAAUCUUCCGCAAUGGGCGAAAGCUUGACGGAGCAACGCCGCGUGAGUGAUGAAGGUCUUCGGAUCGUAAAACUCUGUUAUUAGGGAAGAACAAAUGUGUAAGUAACUAUGCACGUCUUGACGGUACCUAAUCAGAAAGCCACGGCUAACUACGUG
rnacentral:rRNA from 1 species